AUUUAUCUGACUAUUCCCAAAUAGGAUGAAACGCGCGUUCUGAAU
rfam:Schistosoma haematobium scaffold1315_24, whole genome shotgun sequence.